UUACGGCCGCAGCACGUUGAAACAUCGGUUCUCAUACGAUCACCGAAGUUAAGCACCGUUAGACCUGCUCAGUAUCUAAAUGGGGGCACGUUUGGGAAUACAAGGUGCUGUAAG